CUCAUAAAACUGAUUUUAAAAAAAUUGGUGUUGUUGAGAUAUUAAUAGAGAAAUCUUCUUUCUACUGUAUGCCCGGUGUGGGAGAAACAAGUGGGAAAUGCAGGUUGGGAGAAACAGAUGUGGCAGAAGUAGAGGCUUACAUUAGAUUACAAAAAAAAAAAAAUAUACAAAGUAUAAUCAGCAUGCUAGCACCUUGUUUAGCGUUUAAGAAAUUUAGCAUUAACAACAAUCAAUUAACUAAAAAUUUUAGGGUUUUAGAGCACUUUGACAAUAAUCACAACAGCUAAAUAACAUAGGAACACCAACCCUAGAGCAAACUAAUUUUACUGUUUAAUAAAAAUGUUGAAGAUUUAUAGGAUGGGUUACAAUGAAUUUGUCAUACUCAAUAUCUCUGAGUAAAAAUUCCUAACUCUGGUAAAUACUUGAAGGGCUUUGAACGAGCAGGUCCUCUGAAAAGAAUUAACACAGAUAAUAUUAAAUAAACAGAGAUUAUAUUGAAUUCAAGACUCAAACAAAAAGCACUGAAUGAUUUAAAAAAAAAAAAGUCACCUGAAAGGGCUUAUCGUAACAAAUAUCAUAUUAAUUAAAAGAUUUAGGGUACUGUAAUUUGUUAUUCAAUUACAUUUGUAAAUAAUACAAUGUUGCUUUAGUAUAUAGUUCAUAUUUAAAUUUUACCAUAAAAUAUGACAAAAUAUGACAAUACAUAAAGAUUUAAUGUUGCAGGGAAAAACAAGUGCAUAGAGAAAUAAAAAAAAACAACAUAAAUUAAAAACAUAAAUUAAAGAAACCUUG